AUUCUGAGGGCCCUGGCUGGUGAGUGGGACGCUCCGGAUUCCGGAGAAGCCACCUUUGGGCGUGCACCUGAAGGGGGCCCACGUAAAGUCCUCGGCGACCCCAAGCGCCACUCACCUCGGUCACAGCCCGUGGCUUCCACCGCGCUCGCCCCCGCGGCCUAAGCCCCGCCUACGCGACCGUUAGCGCAGCCAGGCUGACCAAUCGAACUGACGCAGUCGAUGGCCUCCCAGCGGGGCGGGACAACACCACCUGGCGCGCCGGGAAGGCGGGUCCACGCCGCGCUCUAUCGUUAGCUCCGCCCACGGGGCGGGGCUUCUUCCCGCCUCCACUCCCACCGGACCCGGACUUGCUGCGGCUACUUUGUAGCAGGCGCUUUGACACUUCCUGGACGCUCCGCCUGAUAGUCGCUCAGUCACCAUGGUGUUUCUUUGAUCCCCGAGAAGCUAGAAAUACACACAUUUGCGGUUGCAAGUGAAAGUGAGGCCGGGGCUGCCUUAUUAUCACUGGAUGCCUGCGCUCCCUACAGCUCCCCCUCACGCCCUGACUGCGAGCCUUUUUCAGGAACUGUCUGCACGGGGCAACCCCAAUAAGCAUUUCUUGAUAACAUUUCACCUUCUCCUUGAAUAUUUUCAAAGGUCUACGAAGAACUGAGAUGCCUGCCUGACGAAGCUCAGUCUAGAUAGGCAGUUUGGGCUCCUGUUAGACACUGAUAAGACUGGUUAAUAAAGGGUUUGUGGCUACAGAGAUAAAAGAUUACAUAAGGACAUGAGGCACAACUCUUGCUUCAACUUUAGAUAAGCUGAAAAGCCUUGAAAACGAUCUAUGGGCCUCCAGGUUAAUUAAGUCAAGAUCUCUAAAGUGGGGCCCACACGUCCAGAGUUUAUAUGGUUCCCCGAAGUGAUUCUAAUGUAUAGCCAGGAGGGAGAACCAACUGUCCGCUGAGAAAUAAUUAAGACUGAUUCUAAACCUGGUGGGGAAGAGGGACUGGAGAUGUAGAUCAGUUGGUAGAAUUCAGCGUCCGGGAAGCCCUUGGGUUUGAUUCUUCAACACGGCCUAAGACAGGCGAGCUGACACGUGCCUGUAAUUCCAGAAUUUAGGAGGUACAGGCAGAUCAGGAGUUCAAGGUCAUCCCUGGCUUUAUAGCAAAAGUCAAGACCACCGGAAGCUACAGGAGGCCUUGGCUCAAGGAAAAAAAUAAAACGAAGGUCCUUCUCCACUCUUUUCAAAAACCAAAAGUGGGUUAAGAAAUCCAAAAUAUGUAAGGGAAAAAAAAUCAUGUUCGCAGUCUAAAGGAUGACCUCGAGUUUUCAGGAAUCUACCAUCGUUGUCCUUGCAACUUACAGCCACACGGUGGCGGUAUUGACAACAGGCAUUUCCAGAAGGACUUGGGAAAUGCAAGUCCCAUCAGGGUCUUAGUGACCCUAAUACAUCAACUAAAGUGACUCUCUCUGGGUGGUCCAAGGGCACAUCUCUUAAGAGAGUACUGCUCUCAAGCCCACGUUUAGGCACACAGUGAGUCUAAACUGUGUGUGUUCUCUGCAAACACAUCCCAAUCCCUCUAUUCCCCCUCAUGGCCCCUUCCUUCCCUUUCUAUAUCUGGAUAUUCACACUACGGAGCUGACAGAUUUUCAUUUUCAGCUUCCUAAGACAAUCUAACUGCUUACCUUUUCCAGAACAAUAGGGUGACUUUCCCAAUCUUCUGAGCCAACCCAUAGGCCAAACAUCCGUGGGUUAGAAUUACUUUUGAUGUGAGUAAUAAAAAUCAAAC
rnacentral:lncRNA from 1 species